UUAGUUUCCCAGCUAUACACCCCCCAACAAUUUCAUUUCCCUCCUUUCCCAAAUUGAUUUACCCAAACUAUUUCAAUUUCCCGCUCCCCCAGAUCGACCCUUCACUAAAAAAAUUCAUUCUCCCGCUAUCCCUGUCCCCAAGCCCUAGUCGUUUUCACCUUGUUGCUCAAUUUAAACUCAAAACCAAGAUUGAGGAGAUAAUCAAUUAAAUUGUCUCACAUUCUCUUUCUAAAUCUGUUGUUUUUCGAUUCAAAAUCUAAUCCAAUCAAUCUUUUGCUUCCUUCGAUUACAGAUUUUGUUGUGGUGAGAGGAUGAACAAUCAUAGUAGAAGCAACAGGAACGCAGGCACUGGUCCACCCACUCAAUCGGUCCUUAAAAGGUUAAUCGCAGACUAUCUCAAAAUCAAGCUAGGAAGUCUAGAAACUCACAAUGAAUCUAGGUUGUCGGAUUUGUAUUGUUUGAGAGAACAUGAAUCUGUAUAACUGUUUGCUGAUAUUUAUUAGUAUGGGAUAAUAAACGUAUUAAAUAUUGUCACUAAA